rnacentral:rRNA from 1 species
AUGUCGGGGCUAGAGGAGUUGAAGAAGAAGCUGCAGCCCUUGCUGUUCGACGACACGGACAAGGGCGGCGUCAGUACCCGGGUUCCCUUCCCGGAGGAUACAUGCGAUUCCUAUGUGGUGUCUGAUGGUGGAACGAUAAAUUUACUGAGUAGAUCGUUUGGUGAGUAUAACAUCAAUGAGCAUGGCUUUCAUAAGCGAAGCACCGGACCAGAAGAGCCAGAUAGCGGUGAGAAGGCAUACCGAUGUGCCUCUGAAGACAUGCACAUAUUUGGUCCCAUUGGGAAUGGAGCAAGCAGUGUCGUGCAGAGAGCUAUUUUCAUACCAGUUCAUCGAAUUCUGGCCUUGAAGAAGAUAAACAUAUUUGAGAAGGUACAUUCUUUCUCGUCCGAAAUGCAGCUUACAACCACAUUGUUGUGCACUUCUGGUUUACAUGAACACCCCAACAAGGCUGUUUUCGCUUUUAAUUUCCUAGUCAUUGUUCAUUCUACUUCAUUGGACUGA